rnacentral:piRNA from 1 species
UAAACAAUCAGAAAAACGGUA